rnacentral:misc_RNA from 1 species
GAUGAAGAACGUAGUGAAAUGCGAUAAGUAAUGCGAAUUGCAGAAUCCGUGAGUCAUCGAAUCUUUGAACGCACAUUGCGCCCUCUGGUAUUCCGGAGGGCGUGCCUGUUCGAGCGUCAUUAUCACCCCUCAAGCCCGGCUUGUUGUUGGAUGCAGCGCUUAUCCCGCUCCUCCCAAAGAUAAUGACGGCGUCUGCGACGACUCCUGUACACUGAGCUUUCGGGCACGUACACGGCUAGAAGUCCAGACCCGGUCGCCGUCCCCCCCGCGGGGACACCCAUUACCACAAGGUUGACCUCGGAUCAGGUAGGAAUACCCGCUGAACUUAAGCAUAUCAAUAAGCGGAGGA